UACAGAGGUCUCAAGCGUUGUUCGGAUUCAUUGGGCGUAAAGAGCUCGUAGGCGGCUUGUCGCGUCGGCUGUGAAAACUCGGGGCUCAACCCCGAGCCUGCAGUCGAUACGGGCAGGCUAGAGUCCGGCAGGGGAGACUGGAAUUCCUGGUGUAGCGGUGAAAUGCGCAGAUAUCAGGAGGAACACCGGUGGCGAAGGCGGGUCUCUGGGCCGGAACUGACGCUAAGGAGCGAAAGCGUGGGGAGCGAACAGG
rnacentral:rRNA from 1 species